AUUGCUUCUCAGCCUCUUGGCAAAGAUCAAGUGUAAAAUUGUUCUUACUGGUUUAAUAUCUGAUACAUCUUUUAUCCAAGGACAAUAUAGUAACUGGAUUUUUGGAGCAAGUAGUUGGAGUGGGUGUUUGCUCCAUCGACUCCACGCACCGAGCUGGUAUUGCAGUACCUCCAGGAACAGUGCACCCCCG
ensembl:snRNA U2 U2 spliceosomal RNA